rnacentral:rRNA from 1 species
UGGUGGAGCGAUUUGUCUGGUUAAUUCCGAUAACGAGCGAGACCUCAGCCUACUAAUUAGGUAUGGGAAUUCUCGGAUUCCAUCCUCAUACCUUCUUAGAGGGACUAUCGGUGGUUAGCCGAUGGAAGUCUGAGGCAAUAACA